GGGUGUAUUUUUGACUGGGCAGAGGCCUGGAGUCAAAAGGGGUAGGAAAUUGCAGCUGGCACUUCUCAGAGAUGCCAGACCCUGAAGGAGUCAGUACAGUGGGGUCUUGACUUGAGAACUUAAUCCGUAUUGGAAGGCGGUUCUCAAGUCAAAAAGUCUGUAAGUCAAGUCUCCAUUGACCUACAGUGCAUUGAAAACCGAUUAAUCCUGUAACAGGCCAUUUUUGUUCCAUUUUGGUUUUUUUCUGGUCUGUAAGUCAAAUCUCAGUCUGCAAGUCAAACCUAAAUUUUGCGGCCAGAGAAGUCUGUAACUCAAAAAGUCUGUAAGUCAAGCCGUCUGUAAGUCAAAGGUCCACUGUACUCGAAACUCUGUUACCACCACCUCCACGGUUUAAAAAAGGACAAUAACACGUCUAGCAGUUUUAAACGGAAAACUGCUUUUUAAUGUCUUCAAUUUUUCGAGAGCUGCCUUAUUAUUUUCGAAUUUUCCCAACGCAGCCAAGGGCGUGCUCCAAGCUGAACCUCGCAUUUCUGUUAUCGAGGGCGUUGGCCUUUUGUUUCAAACGCCCACCUAAUAACGAGUCUCUGAACUCCGAAAGAACUGCCGGCCUAUUCCCACAGCUCUGAGUGGGGCGGCUGCUCCCGGUUGUUUCCUCGGCCGGGACAAGCGAAGAGACACGGGGCUUGGACACCCCUAGCGAAGAAGGCUUGUACCGUCCGCUGUCUUGCCGCCUAGGAGUUUACAAGACACGGGACACCACACGGGACACUGAAACAGAGUUGCUGGCAGGAACAGAGAGGGGCUGGCCCUAAAACGAAAAGCUCCCGCCUUGGAGUCGGGCGAAGCUCUCCCUGUCUCUCUGUUAGACUGUACUGGCGGGCCGGCCCUCUCUUGGCAGGGAACGACUGCCGCCGCCGCCUUUGCCUCUCUCGCCUGUUCUCUCCUCCCCGCCCCGUCCCCACUCCAGCGCGCUCUGUGGGCGCCCUCUUCGUUGCGCGGAGGGGACAGGAAAAAGAGGCAGCCGGAGGGUGGAGGAAGGAGGAGGGUCGGAUUUGAAGAGCGCCCCAGGAUGGGAGAGGGAGUCGCCUCGGCGGCGGAACAUAUAUUCCUUGGCUUUCUGAGCUCGUGCUGGAAUUCUACACCUACUUUCCUGGGAAUAAGCUCCACUUGGGUCAGUAGGAUCUAUAUCUGAGUAAAAAUGCACAGCAUUCUGCUGUGCAUUAAUUGAUGUGUAGUGUUAAAUAUGCAUAUUUACUCAACAAAAUUAUUUAGAAAAUGAGAACAAAGACAGUAUCCUUUUAUUUUUGAAACAUUAAGGAUAAGGCAAAAACAUAUGAAAACUUUUGCUUCCCCAGUACUGUAUCCCACUUAUGUCCUCUAUUGGAUCACCCAGACUUUAAAUCUCAUGAGAAAUGUGUACGAUUUAAACAUUGGGAACAACUUGAAAUACUGUAUAUCAAAUUAAGGAUUUACAGUAUUUGAAUCAGGGGAAGCAGUUGCUGCUAGACAAAUAGAAGAGAAAACAAAGCAAAUAAGAACCAAUUGGCUACAAAUAAAACAAAUAAGGAGCUUUGCA
rnacentral:lncRNA from 1 species